GUUGAGGGGAAUGUUGUCUGGAUCGAGGAUAUUAUAUAUACAGACACACACGUAUAUACAUACAUGUAUGUUGAUACAAGUGAUCAUAGAGUAUCCUCGGACCAGGCUUCAUCCCCCCCAAC
rnacentral:pre_miRNA from 1 species